UUGAUGGAGAGUUUGAUCCUGGCUCAGGACGAACGCUGGCGGCGUGCUUAACACAUGCAAGUCGUGCGGAGAUGAGACGGAAGUUUACUUUUGUUUCAUCUUAGCGGCGGACGGGUGAGUAACACGUGAACAACCUGCCCUAACAACUGGGAUAACACCGGGAAACUGGUGCUAAUACCGGAUACGCUCUUUGGAUGACAUCAUCCGGAGAGGAAAGUCG
rnacentral:rRNA from 2 species